GACGAACGCUGGCGGCGUGCUUAACACAUGCCAGUCGAACGGAAAGGCCCUGCUUGCAGGGUACUCGAGUGGCGAACGGGUGAGUAACACGUGGGUGAUCUGCCCUGCACUUCGGGAUAAGCCUGGGAAACUGGGUCUAAUACCGGAUAGGAGCCAUUUUUAGUGUGAUGGUUGGAAAGUUUUUUCGGUGUAGGAUGAGCUCGCGGCCUAUCAGCUUGUUGGUGGGGUAAUGGCCUACCAAGGCGGCGACGGGUAGCCGGCCUGAGAGGGUGGACGGCCACAGUGGGACUGAGAGACGGCCCAGACUCCGACGGGAGGCAGCAGUGGGGAAGAGUGCACAAGGGGCGCAAGCCUGAUGCAGCGACGCCGCGUGGGGGAUGACGGCCUUCGGGUUGUAAACUCAGUUCGCUAGGGACGAAGCUUUUUGUGACGGUACCUAGAGAAGAAGCACCGGCUAACUACGUG
rnacentral:rRNA from 1 species